rnacentral:lncRNA from 1 species
UCACCCAAAGAAACUAUCCAAAUCAUAAAAUUUCCGAUCCGAGCUCAUAUACAAAUAAGUCAACUCUUAGUCAAACCUUUCAAAUUCAAAGCUUUCAACUGAGAUUGUUCCUUCAAAUUUAUUCUGAUUUUUCCUAAAAACCAAAACCAACGAUCUACAUCAGUCAUAAUACGUUACACGAGGCAAGUCAUGCCCGGGAACUGGCGAUCAAAGUGCAAAAGUUCAAAACGACCGGUCGGGUCGUUACAAUAAAUUGGUACCUGGUAAGCAGAAUGUUUUGCCGAUAAAGACAAGAAAGUGAAAGAGAAUAAUGAUUUCUGCGGCAAUCUUGAAACCUACACGAAAAGAGAAGUUGAAGACAGAUAAGAUGGAGAAGAUUGACAAGGAUGAUUGAGCAUAAUCGAGCAGAUUUGGAAAAUAUCCGAUAUAUAUAUGGAAGAAAACAUGCAAACAGAAAAAUUAAGUUAGGGGUAUUCUAUUUUCUUCUUUAAGUUGUCCAAGUCUAUAGUGUUGUAAUGUUUUCUUCUUUGCAUUUAUUACAAGAAAAAUAACAUAUAACUUGAACCCAUUUUCCAUGAAGGGAACGGAUUUUAGGAGAGAGUUCAGAACUAUAUCAACCUAUUUGCCAUAAUACUGGAAGUAGUGAAUCAAUAUGGCAUCACAACAAGACAAGAAAUUCAAAAGCAUGACUAAUUCAACUCAGCAUUAAUCGUCAUAUGCCCCUAAAGUUUAAAGAGUAGAUACCGCCUUACAGUUGCAACACAUUGACAUAUGUAAUUUAUGUACUGAUAUUGAAUUAUUAGCAGUCAUGACGGAAUUCUUCUUACCUUAAACUGCUGUAAAUUCAUGCUCCAUAAAUCAGAGCUCUCAUUCUUAAUUAAUUUGGGGAAAAUUUCAAAAAAAAAUUGCAGAUUUGGGGAAAACAGAUAGAGGGAGAAGAUUGACAGCAGAUUUUUCAAAAUUUACUUGGGGAAGAAGAGAAAUUUACCUGGGAUUUGGGAAGAAGAUCGCCGGGGGCUGUGGCAGGCCGGAGCUGUCGCAGGCCACAUUGAUUUUGUUAACUAGAGACUAUUAACCGGAGCGAUUUUGCAGGCCAAAUACUGUCGAAAGGGAAUAGGUUUUGUUAUUUUUUUUCUUUUUUGGCAGAAGUCGUAUUGGUUUCUAAUUGGAG